rnacentral:rRNA from 1 species
CAGCGAUGUUACUUUGAAAAAAUUAGAGUGUUCAAAGCAGGCCUUGGCUCUGAAUACAUUAGCAUGGAAUAACGUGAUAGGAGUCUGGUCCUAUUGUGUUGGCCUUCGGGACCGGAGUAAUGAUUAAUAGGGACUGUCGGGGGCAUUCGUAUUUCAUUGUCAGAGGUGAAAUUCUUGGAUUUAUGAAAGACGAACUUCUGCGAAAGCAUUUGCCAAGGAUGUUUUCAUUGAUCAAGAACGAAAGUUG